GCAAAACGCGAAGAACCUUACCAGGCCUUGACAUGCAGAGAACUUUCCAGAGAUGGAUUGGUGCCUUCGGGAACGUCUGACACAGGUGCUGCAUGGCUGUCGUCAGCUCGUGUCGUGAGAUGUUGGGUUAAGUCCCGUAACGAGCGCAACCCUUGUCCUUAGUUACCAGCACGUCGUGGUGGGCACUCUAAGGAGACUGCCGGUGACAAACCGGAGGAAGGUGGGGAUGGACGUCAAGUCAUCAUGGCCUUACGGCCUGGGCUACACACGUGCUACAAUGGUCGGUACAGAGGGUUGCCAAGCCGCGAGGUGGAGCUAAUCUCACAAAACCGAUCGUAGUCCGGAUCGCAGUCUGCAACUCGACUGCGUGAAGUCGGAAUCGCUAGUAAUCGC
rnacentral:rRNA from 1 species